rnacentral:lncRNA from 1 species
AUAGCACAAAAAAAAAAAAGAUAAUUCAGAAGAAGUUGGGAUUAAUUCAUGCUGGGACAUAGGGAAGGUAUUGUGAAGGGAGGUCUGGAAAGUAUUAUAGUAGAACCUUGAAUAAUGGGUAGGCUUUGAAUCUUUGAGGAUAAGAAUGUGGGGUUAGGAGGGUAGGCAUUGCAAUUGCAAAAGCAACAUGAGCAAAGGCAUAGAAGUGGGAGUAAAUGUUUCUACUUUUCUAACACUUGAGGUAAUACUUACAUGCAGACAUUCAAUGGUUUCCUUCUCCCAUUCCUGGGAAAGAAGCCAGGAGCCAUCUCAAGUGAGGAGGACCCCCUCAUGGAACUGAGAUUUGGCCAAGAUCAUCGCUUUUCCCCCCAUUGAUUUAGAUGGGGGGAGGGGUGGUUGUGACAGUCUCCUUGAUUGCACCAGCUUAGGGCUGUGGGCGAAUACUUUUGACAUUAAAAUCCUUUCUGUUCUUUCCAGUUUCAUCUCUGUGCCAACUUUUUUCAAGAAAAUCCGGUUCUUUCUUCCCCUUUUGGUUCAGCAAUCACAGUUAAAUCUGCAAAGCCAGUCAUCAAGCCAAACAAUAAGCAUUUCCGGAGCACAGUGGGGAGCAAGUUUCGCAGCUCUCUGUACUUGCUCAUGGAGACCCUCAAUGCCACCACGCCCCACUAUGUUCGGUGCAUCAAGCCAAAUGAUGAGAAAUUGCCCUUUGAGUAAGUGUUCUUCUGCAGCAGAGAGGGGACACCCUGAGGGAGCCAUUUCUGGUGUGAUGUUGGAGAAUUUGUUUAUCAUGGUCUUGAACUUUACCAUUCUUGGGUAUUUUAAUGAUUCAAAACAAUCCUGCCCUCUAUAUCAUUAACCCCUCUGGCUAAACCAUCUUAUCUCCAGAGUUAAGCGAAGGGGCUAGGUUUGAAAGAAUUAUUCUACAGUUAAAUCUUGUGCAAACAGAGAAAGCCAGAACAUUUUCUUGGUGAGAAUUUGUCUGUGUUUGUAGGAGGAAAGCUGUAGAGAGGCCAAAAGUUUUGCCCUCAAACAUGGCAUGAGGCCUUAGACUUUUUCUUUGGGGACCCAAGGAAGUGGAAGCUACAGAGAGUCUCUCAGCUGAGAGGUGUCUAAGGGGAUGCUCUGUCCUGGGGGUGGUGACUGUGUCUGUGGGUCCUCAGAGGGCCAGACCUAAGCCAUAGCGCCACCUGUAGGGUGUCUUGUAAGGGGGACUUGGUA